rfam:Gossypium arboreum cultivar AKA8401 contig_36245_1, whole genome shotgun sequence.
AUUCCAUGGUGUGGGUGCUUCCAUAGCAUUGACUUGAAAUGUUCUCAUGCUUCGUACAGAGAUUCACCUUCAUAUUGCUUGAAAUUGGAAAUUUCUCACCUAAGCU